UUAUGAUUAAGCCAUGCAUUUGAGGGUUGUAGAUUGAAAAUGGAAUAAAUCUCUAUUCAGCAACAAUUCUUAUAUGCCCAGUCUCUGUCGAAGGUGCUUCAUUUGAAUCAAUAAGUUAUAUAAAUGAUGCAGCACAUACCUUAAGGUAUCCAAGUGGAGUGUAGGUGAGAAUUAAUAUGAAUGUCAAAAUGGAAGAGCUCAACUACAGGUUAUAUGUCUCUUAAUUGAUAUUAAAGCUUUUGGUUAUUAGUUAGUUUAUGUUUUUCCCCCUUUCUUUUUAAUUUCAUUAUAGUUAAUUAAUUUUGUUAUAGGUUAGUUUGUGCGAGACGGCGACUGUCGUUGUUCCAUCUCGUCGAACCUCCAUCUCCAUCCUUAUCAAGGUCUUCCUGAGCUAUUUGCAUUAUGUGCUUUGUCACGCUUGGAAUUGGAGAGUGAUGCUUUUGUAGUGUUUCUUUUUCUGCUCUUUUGUUAUUAUAGGUUUCAGUUGCACUAUUAGACAUGAGUUAU
rnacentral:lncRNA from 1 species